rnacentral:rRNA from 1 species
UACGUAGGGGGCUAGCGUUGUCCGGAAUCAUUGGGCGUAAAGCGCGCGUAGGCGGCCCGGUAAGUCCGUUGUGAAAGUCAAAGGCUCAACCUUUGAAAGCCGAUGGAUACUGCCGGGCUAGAGUCCGGAAGAGGCGAGUGGAAUUCCGGGUGUAGUGGUGAAAUGCGUAGAUAUCCGGAGGAACACCAGUGGCGAAAGCGGCCACCUGGACUGUACCUGACGCUCAAACGCGAAAGCUAGGGGAGCGAACGGG